rnacentral:rRNA from 1 species
CACGGUAAACGAUGGAUGCCCGCUGUCCGCCCUUUGCGGCGGGUGGCCAAGCGAAAGCGUUAAGCAUCCCACCUGGGGAGUACGCCGGCAACGGUGAAACUCAAAGGAAUUGACGGGGGCCCGCACAAGCGGAGGAACAUGUGGUUUAAUUCGAUGAUACGCGAGGAACCUUACCCGGGCUUGAAUUGCAGAGGAAGCGUCCGGAGACGGGCGUGCCCUUCGGGGUCUCUGUGAAGGUGCUGCAUGGUUGUCGUCAGCUCGUGCCGUGAGGUGUCGGCUUAAGUGCCAUAACGAGCGCAACCCCUCUCCGUAGUUGCCAUCGGGUGGAGCCGGGCACUCUGCGGACACUGCCACCGCAAGGUGCGAGGAAGGUGGGGACGACGUCAAAUCAGCACGGCCCUUACGUCCGGGGCUACACACGUGUUACAAUGGGGCAUACAGAAAGCCGGCGGCGCGCGAGCUCCGUCCAAUCCCUAAAGUGCCCCUCAGUUCGGACUGGGGUCUGCAACCCGACC